ensembl:lncRNA
CAGCCAUCACAAAGGUGAGGGUUACAGAGAAAUGCAGUCACUCCUUCUCUUCUUAAGCUCCGUGUCUGGCAACGUAGCCAGACUUAUCAAUCCAAACUGCAAGAUCUCAUUCAUAUGCAUUGUUUUUCCUCCUACAGCAAUAUGUACGUAUGUGUAUUCACAUGCCCACACUGUGCCAGAGUAGCUGAUGUAAGAACAGAAGUGUGAGGGAGGACUCAUCAACCCUGUGAAAUGAACAUGGAAAGGGACUGCCUGGCUUUUGAGUCUACUUGGAGUGGUGGGUGGAAUUGGUUUGCGUUGUCAGUGUUUUGUUUUUGUUGGGGGAAUUUUAAGUUUCAGCCCAGAUUUCUCUGUGUCUGACUUGGGCUCUUGUAUCUGAAUUAUGUUAUUGAAGGGGUGAAUGAGAGUUGGUUCCUUGAUAGUUUUAUUAGACAAACUGUUACUGAUACCUUAUCCACUUUACAGUAUUGCCAAUCCCAUUUCCACGCUCUUCUGAUCUGAUAAGUGCAUUUGUGUUAUCAACAACUCAAACUUCUAUAGAAGGGAGCACAGAGCCUCUGUCAAGUUGGAAUCCCUCUUUAGUCUGUGAUCCACAACAUGUGAUUACUUUUGUAUGCAGUGUUUUCAGCUCACUGAGAAAGAUGACAGUUUCAGCCUUUGCACAUUUUUUCUUGACUUUUUUGUUUGUUUAAAAUUUUUCUUUCUUUUCUGGACGAGCAAUCUAAAAUCGUCAGUAAAAGUGAUAUAUUACCUAGGAAUUAUGCCAUUGUUUUGUUUGGAGUUUACCUUUAUAAUUAUUUCUGUCAGCCUCUGGAAAUUGGCUAAAUUUUCACAUACUUUGGUUUUCUAAGUUCCUGUGGUUUGUAAAGUAUAAGUGGAUUAUUACUCUAGCGCAUUCUGUACUAGACUCCCUUCUUGUUUGAAUUUAGCCUAAAUACAGAAUACAUAGCACUGGUCUGCUCUAAACAGAGAUCAAAUGCAGGUAGUGAAGAGAAGCAAUUUAUUGCCACUAGUUCACCCUCUGUAACAAGGAAGAUAUUUAAUUUGUGUCCUUCAGAAUAGAUAGAUCUGUACUGAUGCAAACUGGCUUAUUCCUCUAACAGAGCACUUACUGGCCAUAAAGUAGUGAGAUGGAAGGAUAGCAAAAGUAGUGGCCCAGCAUUUAAGAAAAUAAAUAAAUUCUGACGAGCUUCGUAUUCGGCUUAUCUAAGGUCAAAGAUGAAAGCUUUCAUCAAGUAAAACAAAUACAAGUAAAGGGAAUUCCAUUUGAAGGAGAAAGGUGGAACUGUUAGAAUGGUGGUUGGUUUUUAAAUAAUGUCACUGAGUUUUGAAGGAUUUGAAAAUCCAAAUGCAUUCAAAAGCAGGCAAAAGAUUGGGCAGCGGAUCAGGUGAGUAAUGGAGCAUGUUAUGUACCUUCUCACUUCAUCAUUUGUUGCUGCUCAUAGGAAGUUGGCCCAUAGUGGCUGAGGGCAAAAUACACUGCUUACAAGAUUGUUUGGGAUUAUAGGAUAACAUCUCUCAUCUUUUUCUAACCAGCCCCAUUCAUUUCUGUCAUCCACAUUACUGACCAUUUGGAUGUAAGAGAAGAAAGAGUUAGAACAGAACUGCAAAAGUGAGGGCAGUAAGCAGAAGAGGAUAAAACCUUUCUCGGUCAGGACUGGGAAAAAGUAAGAGUGCUCUCUCUCCUGGAUUCAAAAAUCAUAUUGCUAUGAGAAAAAUUCUUGAGCAGAAGAGGAACGAGAGCAGUGUCUAGAGACGCGUGAUAUCCGUUUAUAUUUUUUUAGAAGAUAUAAUGAGAUACAUAGGCUAGGACAGAGACUCUUUAAUUGUUUUCUGUAAAUAAGGAGUCAGAGAACAUUCAUCUCUUACGCAGGCCAGCUGGAGACAAAGGCCAGCUCCAUAAGGAUACCAAAGUGUACAUAUUAUGACAAGGAGUAGGAUCUCCUUGGGUGAAUGCCAAAAGAGAGUGCUCUCACUAAAGCUGUAAUUUCUGCUGGCAACAAAGCAAAGUCUGAAGGCCAUAUGGUCUUAACAUUGUCCUCUUUGUUGACUGUGUCUUCUAGAUUGCAGCACAUAACUACAACCUUUAUCAGAGUUGAAACCUGCACCCUUAACUCUGGGGAAGGUUGUGUUUCAGGUUGCUUUCCUUCCGCCCCAAGGUCCUUCAGUGGGAACACAACUGUGUCAAAGUUUUACUUUAUCUGCCUUGUCAAGGAACACUUUCUAAAACUAGGGAUACUCUAUUUCUAGAUGACUAGCACCUAUGACUCAAAGUCUAGAAUUGAGUAGUUUUUCUACUCCAAACCGUCUUUCAUAUUAACACUAGUCUUGGCACAGCAGUAGGUAGUGGAAUCCCUCCUAGAAACAGGUGAUAUACUUCCAGAAAUUUUGCCAGUUAGCAUAGAUGCAUGACCUUCUCAAGUGAUGCACACCAAGCUAAUUGUUGCUUUUAGGUGUAAAGUAUGUACUGAAUGGUAUGGAAGUUGAGAAUUUGUCUAAACGAAGGGCAAAGUAGGGCUUUGUAAGAUUUAGGAGGAUAGAAUAAGUCUUAGUAUGUCCUUUGAUGCAUCUAGUUUUGACAUCUUUCUUGAAUGUUUAACAUCAGAACAUCAAAGCAUCUUGUAGGACCACUAUGCAAGCAAGGUAGCCCAGUUUUUCCAUUAUGCAGAUGACACAACUGGGACAUAGAGAGAGCAAAUGACUUGCCCAGAAUCUCACAGAAAGACUGGAAAAAAGUAAAGAACUGAUCAGCACUCCCUAUGGAAAGUUAGCACAGUACUUGCUGCAAAAUCAUUUAUGUGUAGGGGUUUUAACUGACCAGGCAAUUGUUUAUUUAUCUGUUAUAUUCCAGAACUUCUUGCUGUAUUCUUGUUUUCCUAUUUCUGGUAAAUAAAUCUUUCAAACAACAUCUCUCCGUUCAAGUUGAUUAACACAUUUUUUCCUAACCAAAGAGGUUGUUUUUAGGAAGUUUGUGCCAUAGAGGAGUAUUGUAGCACGGUGAAUGAUCCUUUGAGAUUCUUGCUGGAGAAAAUAUUUUUAAGUUUGUGGAAAAGCCUUGUCCAAUGACAACACCCAAGGUGAAAUUUUAAAUAAGAAAAAGUUAAUCACUAUAAUAUUUAUCAACAGCUAUGAAAAUGUCCCAGUUUGCUGUAGGGCUACUGCAGUACUGUUACUUGCCACUACUGUUGAAUGCUUGUAGGGACACUGGAGUACAGAAAACAGCACUAGAGACUUGCUGCUGUGACUUUGGAGGCUUGCCAGUGUGAUUCCUAUCUACAAGAAGAGUCUGAGGAGGACCUGGGAAGCUACAGACCCAUCAGCCUGACAUCGAUGCUGGGAAAGGCUAUGGAAUGGAUCAUCUUGAGUGAGAUCAUAUGACAUUUGUUGGACAACUGGGGAAUCAGGCCCAGCCAGCAUGGGUUCAUGAAAGGAAGGACCUGCUUGACAUGUCCGAUCUCCUUCUAUGCAUUGUUAGCUCUUCAGCAAAUUCCCAGCAGAUGGCCUGGCAGACAAGGUGGUGGGAAGGAUUUCUGUCAUCUCUUUUCCAGCAGUGACUGUCUGAUGGGGGAGCAUUGAGAUCUCUUAACUAUAUUCUCUGAUGCUAGGAGAACUUGUUUGGAUCUGCAUGAAUCCCUCUUCCAAGAGAAGUCUAGAUAUUUCCAAUGUUCUAAGAUGACAGUUGCUUGCUUACUUAGAAAAGAAGCAUGAAUUUCUUGUGAAGUGCGAUGUGCAAGGGACAUCCAGGUCCUAAGAAGAGCAUAAAGAAGUUGGUGGUUGAGAAGGAAGAGUCAUUGGAGAUCAUCCCUAAGAUUCUAAAGAAGUUAGUGAAAAAAAUGUGUGAACGUCCCUCAUUUCUCAGGAAGUUGAAAGAUAUAAAGGAAGAAGUGGAGGUUGAAGUUAGUGUCACAGUACCCAAGACUCUUGACAGUCAGAAAAAAAAGUGCCUGCAUCCAAAAAGACAGCUGUGAUGGAAGACAGUUACACAUCCCAUAUGCAAUACGCAUCUACAUUUUUUGCAGCUGGACAAAAGCUGGCUGUUCAAAGAAAUGUGAAGAUAUUGUGUCAAAUCCUGACAAGGUUAGCCUGUAACAUUCCUGAUAGAAACAAAACCACUGAACAUGACAACAAAAGAAUUGCUAGCUGCAGUGUUUGAAAUGGACCUGGUAAGGAAAAUGCCAAACUUCACCUGGAAGUUCAAUGGGCAAAUGUGAAAGCAGGACGAUAAGUAUGAGAUCAUUACUUUUGAUGAUGGAUUGGCCCACGCUUACAAUACUCAGUCCUGUGAACUUCAGAACUCAGUGCUGAAACUGGAGAUAUAGUGCAGAAAGCUCCAUUCUUCAUUGAUCACAGGUUCAGGUUCAGUUCAUCAGCAAACCUGAGAAUACCCAAAUGAAAAAUGGAAAAUCCUGUCUGGAGUGUGUGCUGAUUUGGGGAUAUGUCACUCUGAAAGGGAUUGAGGAAUUGAUGGGUGAUUGAAAGGUCUCAAGAACACCAGGAAUCAUGAAUGGAAGAGAGCAGAACUUAUCAUAAUGUUGAUGAGCCAAGAGAUUCAGGAACGUGUAUAGGCAUUGCUGUGUAAGACAGUGAAUCUAACAACUGCUACAGCAGCACCAGUGUAACUGGGAAGGUGCCUCAGUCUCGAGGGGUAGAUGUCAGGAAAGAAGCUGUCACCAUCACCAGGAACUCCUCAGCCCAGGAUGGACGUUCCUCAGUGCAAGGCUAUGUCAUAGAAAGAAGGAAAAAGAAGGUAACUGAAGGAUACAGCAUGAUACAGUGUGAGUUCAACCAUGCAGGGCCUGGAUUUCCCAGCGCACCUUUAACCACUUGUUGCAAAGGAUCCCACCGAGCCUGCAGAAGUCCUGAAGGUUCUCUACAUGGUGGAUUUUUCCAGUUCUAGCAUCUCCUUAGCCUGCCAGGAACCAAACAAGGAAGCUGUGUCAUCAAGAUACAUACUAGAGGAUAUAAGUGGAGGACACCAAGGAAUGGACAAAGUGCACCAAGAUCUCUAUCUCUAGUACCACUUAACUCUGCAGGAGGCUUGCAGGACAGACAUAUCCUUCCAAGCUGUGAGUGAAGCCAGUGUGGGAAAAGCAACGGAGGUACAGGAAGGAAUUCUAGAAAUAGCACCUCCAGGUUUGACCUGACUGUGAGGCUGAAGAGCCACAUGGUGGUUUGUGCUGGAACAGCACGGUGCAUUCAUACGUCUUUGUCCAUACGAACUAGCUUGCUCCUUAGAGAAAUUUUCAUUACUGUAAUGAUCUGCUGGGGGUGGGGGAGCUAGGGAUCUCUGCGUUGUAUUUUGUACAUCGUCUCUUCAGAGUGCUUUUUAAAAUUAGCAGCUGUAUUUUUUUCAUCAGAAAGGAAUUACAUAUGACAAACUGCUGAUCAGGUUCUUCAAGAUAGAAGAAAUCAAGGAGAAAGUACUUUAACUAAACACACAAGGACUCUGGAAGGGAGGAGCUGAAGUGAAAAAAUUUUGUCCCAGAAAAGAACAAAGGGAGGGUUCCAAACAGGAGAAAUCAAUACUUAAAUAUGCAAAUUAAUUCUUAGAUUUCCUCUGAUCAACCACUAAUCUCAGCUGGCUUGAGAAAGUCCCAGAAACUGUGACACUAAAAUAGAAUUACAGCCAAGAUGAAGAAGAGAACUAGCAGACAUGUUAUGAUAUCCUGAAACAUGAUAUCAGUACUGCCACAUAGUUCACACAGCCACAGAAAAAUCUGCAGUAACAAGUAUGCCGUCAUAGGCCUGCUUCCAGGGAGGAAAUAAUUGUUCUGAGUCAUUGCCAGCAAUGACACUGGGGACAUUGACCCUUAGGAUUCAAAGGAACCAUGGUACAUCUCGAAAGAUAAAAGUAAGCACAGAAAUUCAUGUUAGUGCUGUGGAAAAAGGAUGCUUUUGUACACAAGACUGCAGACUAAGGUCAAGCUUCCUCUUUGGCUUUGAGCAUAUCACUAAUGUGUUCUGCACCUCAGCUCCCCACCUAGGCAAUGAGCACAGGAAUUCCUUUUUUGCUCUUCCAUCCACUUGACAGCAAUUUUCUCAGCUCCAAACUUCCUUCAACAAUAUGCACGUGUAGGACAUUAUGUAGUAGGGUCUACAGAUGUUGAUUAAAAUUUAAGAUAGUAGAGCCUGUCUGAGGCUGAUAGUCCAUCAUGUCUUGAUGAAACCAACUGCUGGCUUUACAAGUCAUUGUCCUGUAGCCUAUUUCCCGUCCAACUGGGAUUUGUUUCCUAAAUGAGAAGGGCUCAUUCAGAAAAACCAAUCUGUCAUGUUUAGGAGAUUGCAUGACAGUCUUGUUGGGCAAGAAACAAUAGAAGUGCCUGGAAGUACAUUAGGUGUGCUUUUAGCAAACUCAUGGGUACUGCGUCAGGUAAAUGUGUUUUCCUUCAUUCAGCUGUUCUCUGCUCAGGCCUUAUCAGUAAUAAGGAUGUCUCAUUAGCAGUAAUCCCAGACAAAACUGAAGAGGCCCCAGUUCACAAAAUCAAAACAAUAAAUGAUCUUUCUGCCUGGACUGGGGGAAAGCAGAACAUCGUUACUUGGAUUUGUGAGGUCCAAGUCCAAUUUUUCAGUCUGGCCUAUUACUACAUAUAUUUUAUUAUUAAAACAGAAAUAUAAAACAAGGAAACUAUAUAUAAAUAUAUAUUACAAGGCUAUGCAUAUAUUUCUUCAGAAG